rnacentral:tRNA from 1 species
CCUGGUGGCUCAGAGGGUAAAGCAUCUGCCUGUGAUGCAGGAGACCCAGGUUCAAUCCCUGGGUCAGGA